CUUAGAACGAGCCUAGCGCGACUGUUAACGGGUAACGUUACAGUUGACUACCUCAGAGAGAAGUGUGAUUCAGGGCUCAGCAGCUGGACCGAUCCUGCAACAGUCUGUGACUGGCUCCACAUCCCCCUGCGGCUUCUGUGUGGAAGCC